rnacentral:lncRNA from 1 species
GGGGGACUUUUGGAAUAGCAUUGGAAAUUUAAAUGAAAUAAAUACCCAAUUUAAAAAAAAAAAAAGAGCAAGUGCCCUAACUACUGAGCAAUCUCUCCAACCCACACUUGUUUUCUUCCUCCUCUUUUUGUUCCUCUUUUUUUGUGCAUCCUAAAAGGUUUUAUUUUAUGAGAUGUCUAUUUUAUUAUUUAUUUUUGGGUAUGUGUGUAUGACGUGUAUGUAUGUAUAUUUGUGCACAUGAGUGCAGAUGCCCUCAGAGGCCAGAAGAGGGUGUUGGAUUCUCCAAGGUUGGAGCUACAAGCAAUUAUGAGAUGCCCAAGGUGGGUUCUGGGAGUAGGAGUCUGAUCUUCUGUCUGAGCAGUCCUCACUGCCCUCCACAUGUUGGAUAAGCACACCCACUUCCCUUUUACUGAUGGAACAUUAUGUAUGAUAUUAAAUUAAGUUACAUUAUGUCUGAGUGCAUGUCUGUGGAUGCUUGUGAGGAUGUUAGAGGGCAUCUCAGGGAGUUGCUUCUCUCCUUCCUCCAUGUGGGUCAUGGGAUGAACUCAGGUUAUCAGGGUUAAUGGCUAGCCCUUGCUGUGCAACAAUGGUAUAGAAUUUUGACUGAGUCCCUCAUGUCGACCAUAAUUGGCAGAUGUGCCUUUGUGUGUGAUCAUUGCUUUUCUGGAAUGUGAUCAUGUGCUACCAAGAGGACUAUUAGCUUAGCUCUACUGUGUCACGUGUAGGGGGAAGGGAGGUCUGACCCAGAGAUCUGUAGACAGAAGAGGUUGGCCAGCAGAUCAACGAGAAGGGCCCCCUCGGAGAGGCUGGAAGGACAUGUAAUUAGCUUUAACUGUGAACUUAAUAUAGUCAAGAGGAAGGCUAAUACAGACUCAUACAGUCUAAGAGGAAAGGCUCAAUGGAGGAACUGCUUAGAUAAGAUUGGCCUAUGGACAUGUCUGGGGGGGGGGCGGGGUUUGUCUUGAUUUUAUUAGUUGAUGCAGGAGGUCUCAGUCCACUGUGAGAAGCACCAUUCCCAGGCUUGUGCUAUAAGAGUAUAUGAGUGAGCCAGAGAGUAAUCCAGGGAGCAGAGUUCCUGCAUAGCUUCUUUUUCAGAUUACCAUCUUCAGAUUCUUGUUCCUGGAUUCUUUCAAUCGAGGAAUGUGACAUGGAAGUAUGAGGUAUGGAAUUCAGGCCCUUAAGAAAGGGGCUCACCCGGAGCUGGGGAUGCAGCUCAGAAGGAAGAGUCCUUGCUUAACAUCCGUGAAGCCCUGGACCUCAUCCCUCGCGCCACACAAAUGAUCUCCAGUGCCAAGGAAAACAUGUAGCUGGCAAAAUACCUUGAGUCUGGCUGAAUCCAACCAUGAUCCAGUGAGCCUUGCUCUCGUGAUGUGGUCUCAAGUGUGUUUGGGGAACUUGGUACGUGUUCUUCCCCUCAAGGAGAAUCAUGCCACAUCAGUGCAUCAGAGAGUUGAAGUUCUGGGACUGGGGAAGUGGCUCAGAGGGCAAAGAGCUUGCUGUGCAAGUCUGAGGAGCUGAGUUCGGAUCCCCAAUACCCACUUCAAAAGCUGAGUGUGGUGGCACAGGUAACAGCAGCUCUGGGUGCUGGUGGAGACUAGCUGUAAUGGCGCUCUCCGAGUCAGUGUAUGGCCUGCCUCAAGAGAUAAGGUAGAGUCUGAUAGUUAGCCUCUGCCUCGUGCAAGCACAUAUCUACACACAUGCAUGUGCACACGUACUUUAAAAAAAGAAGGAAAAAAAAAGAAAACUUCUAAUUAACAAAAUCAAUAAGAGGCCUGAGAGAUGGUUCAGUGCUUAGGAAUGGUUGCCACUCUUGCAGAGGACCCAAGUUUGGUUCCCAGUACCCACAGAAGACGGCUCGUAACUGCCUGUAACUACUGCUCCACGGAAAUCAGACUCUUUAGCCGGAAUAGCUCUCAGGUGAGAGGCCCUUGCCUUCUGUAGAGCUGAAGAACAAAGACACCGUGUAUGCACACUAGGGUGUCCCGAGGGCAAAGACUAGAAGUCACACGGAGCACUAAAUAUAAAAAAAGGCAGGCUUAGAUGUCACCCAAGGAUUGGUUGCAGCUAACAGGCAUCUUCAGAAACAGACAGGCAUCAAUCAGUGAAGGUUACUCCAGGAGCCCACGUACAGGCAGAGGUUUCAGGGGAUGUGGUACAGAGCAUGCGCCAGCUGUCAGGGAGCAGAAGGGAUCAAGGCUGACGCCUUGAGAAUGUGCAUGUGACAGCUCUGCUCUGCAGGCAUGGGAGUCGUCUCCCCUAUGGGGACCAGUAUCCCUUUGCACAAGGAUGCUGGGGUGGAGAGAUGGGAACCAGCGGGUGUGACUGGCAGUGCAUCACUUGGUGGGAAGGUCUGAGGAGAAGGAGUGGGGAGGUACUGAGGAUGGACACUGCAGGCUGAAUCCUGUCUCACCCCAGCAGGUGGCAUGCCACUGACAGCAGGGAGGGACAGAGGACAGAAAGGCUUUCAGAAAGCCCAACCUGGGCUUCUUAAAUCUUUCUCCACAUGUGGCUCCUUUUGCUCACGGGUAUACAGAUGAGACAUUCCCUGGCAGUAAGUCACAAAGAAAUUUAUUCGAGAAUAAUUCUUUCAUGACUUUAGAGAUGGUUCAGAAGUUAAGAGAUUUGCUGCUCUUUCAGAGGACUCUAGUUUGGUUCCCAGCACCCACAUUGGGUGAUUCAUAACAGCCUGUAACUCUAGCUCCAGGGAUCCAACACCUUCUUCUUAAGUCUCCACGGGCAACUCCACACACACACACACACACACACGCACACGAAUAAAAAAUAAAUUCUAAGUUCUUUUGGCUGAAUUUUUUUUUAAAUGUGCAUAUUCAUGUGUGCGUGUCUCAGAUUCAGA